rnacentral:rRNA from 1 species
AGCGAACGCUGGCGGCAGGUCUAACACAUGCAAGUCGAACGAACCUUUCGGGGUUAGUGGCGGACGGGUGAGUAACACGUGGGAACGUGCCUUUAGGUUCGGAAUAACUCAGGGAAACUUGUGCUAAUACCGAAUGUGCCCUUCGGGGGAAAGAUUUAUCGCCUUUAGAGCGGCCCGCGUCUGAUUAGCUAGUUGGUUGAGGUAAUGGCUCACCAAGGCGACGAUCAGUAGCUGGUCUGAGAGGAUGAUCAGCCACAUUGGGACUGAGACACGGCCCAAACUCCUACGGGAGGCAGCAGUGGGGAAUCUUGCGCAAUGGGCGAAAGCCUGACGCAGCCAUGCCGCGUGAAUGAUGAAGGUCUUAGGAUUGUAAAAUUCUUUCACCGGGGACGAUAAUGACGGUACCCGGAGAAGAAGCCCCGGCUAACUUCGUG